rnacentral:rRNA from 1 species
AGUGAACGCUGGCGGUAGGCCUAACACAUGCAAGUCGAACGGCAGCACAGUAAGAGCUUGCUCUUACGGGUGGCGAGUGGCGGACGGGUGAGGAAUACAUCGGAAUCUACUUUUUCGUGGGGGAUAACGUAGGGAAACUUACGCUAAUACCGCAUACGACCUACGGGUGAAAGCAGGGGAUCUUCGGACCUUGCGCGAUUGAAUGAGCCGAUGUCGGAUUAGCUAGUUGGCGGGGUAAAGGCCCACCAAGGUGACGAUCCGUAGCUGGUCUGAGAGGAUGAUCAGCCACACUGGAACUGAGACACGGUCCAGACUCCUACGGGAGGCAGCAGUGGGGAAUAUUGGACAAUGGGCGCAAGCCUGAUCCAGCCAUACCGCGUGGGUGAAGAAGGCCUUCGGGUUGUAAAGCCCUUUUGUUGGGAAAGAAAAGCAGCAGGUUAAUAUCCCGCUGUUCUGACGGUACCCAAAGAAUAAGCACCGGCUAACUUCGUG